AGUCACUGACAUUAGAUACCCGUGUAGUCCAGGGUGUAAACGCUGCAGACUUGGUGUUGGAGGCCCUUUGGGGCAUUCAGUGCCGGAGAGAAGUUGUUAAGUCUGCUACUUGGGAGUACGUCCGCAAGGAUGAAACUUAAAGGAAUUGGCGGGGGAGCACCGCAACGGGAGGAGCGUGCGGUUUAAUUGGAUUCAACACCGUAAAACUCACCAGGGAAGACUGUUACAUGAAGGCCGAGAUGAAGACUCUGCUAGAUUUUCAG
rnacentral:rRNA from 1 species